UUCCCUCAGUGUUGCUGCAGUGUGUGGUGCUGCUGAACUGUGUGUCUGUGUGUCUGUGUUUGUGUGUGUGUGACUCCUCCUGUACUACAUAGUCUCUGGUGGUGUCGUCUGGUGGCGCUGUUGGUGGUGAUGCACUGCUACGAUUCUUUGGGCGGCCAGGGGGAGGAAGUGAAGCACGACAUGAGGGCGGGCGUGCUAGUAUCCGGCAACAACUUGGUGCUUCAGAUGGUGCGUCGAGUCUCCGCUGGGAACUGCACGUGUGCCGCCACCAACACCCUCACCACCACCGCCAGUAACAGUGUGGUGCUGGAUAUCAAAUGCUUCUGGACGUCUAGCAACACACAACGAUCGCAGAGAUACCAGUGUUAAGUGCAAGACAGGGAGGGAGGAAGACUGAGGAUGCUACAAUGUUGACUGCACAAUUGGCGCAAGAUUCAAGAUUUCUAUUUGUGAAAGGUGUAGGCAGUGUAUAUAAUUUAACCAUUGGAUUGUAUGUCAUCACAUUCAUAGAUUUCAUGACUUGGUAGUGUGAUCACCUUUGUGUACAUCGUCAUUUAACCCCUUGAGUACUAUGGCACGUUUUCAUAUUUAUUCUGCUUACUAUAUCGUGAUUUUAUACAGCUUCAGAAACUUAUGUGGGGUGAUUGAAAUCAUAAAGACUGUGGCCAUUAAUCUUCUCACCUCCAUAGACUUACUGAUGUCAAUAAAAUGAAAUUGUACAUAAAUCUCAAUUUUAUGAUGUGUCUCAGCACUGAAAGGAGUAAUAUCACCUAUACGUUUAUUUAGUUAGACGGAGUAACAAUUUAUGAUUUUUAAAUGUUAGUUUAUGGAUGUUUGUUAUAAGAGAUCUUGUACUGUGAAGGUUUGGAUAAAGUUCUUAGCUUGGCCUUAGUUUAUCACCAUCAUCUAUUUCAGCUAGUCCUUGUCAGCCUGUUACAUUUAGGUAAUUUGUCAUUGAUUUACUGUACUGAUGAUGUUAAUAAUCCCUUUAGUACCAGGACGCGUUUUCAUAUUUAUUCUGUUUUCUAUUUGAUGAUUUUAUACAGCUUCAGAAAUUCAUGCUGGGACUAAAAAUAAUAAAGACUAGCCAUUAAUCUUCUGAUGUCCAUAGAUCUUCCGUAAUGUUAAUAAAACCGUUUAAUCAUACCCAAAACUCAAGGUAAAAGGCGUCCCACUACUGAAGGGGUCAAGCUGAGAAUGUUUAGACUUAAUAUACAGCCACUUUGAAGUUAGUUUUAUACCACAGAUUUAUUUGUAAAGGUAUUUUAUUCCGCUUAUACUAACAUCUCUAUCUAAUUUUUUCUUUAUCCUCAACUGUGACACCCCUACCUCCACUCUCACAGACCUUCUUUUCUUCAUCUUUCUCAGUGCUCCCGCCCACACCCACAAUCUCGUCGCACCAAACGUUCCUUCUUUCCUACAGCUAUCUCAUCUUCAACUACUUCGUUACCCUUCCCCCUUCUUUCUCUCUCAGCCUCUCCUGCCUUUUCUCCUCCCUCUAAGAAGUCCUGCCCUACCAUUUUCCACUCUACCACUUCAUCUUUCGAAACCCUUGACCUGAUGAUGCUUAUAUCUCCCACACAGCCUCCCAGCCCUCUCCUCUUACUCUUUUAUCUCCUUCUUCGAACUCACUCUUCCAUACUUCCGCCGAGGCUCACCCUUUACCUACCAACUUACCCAACACUUCCCUUCUAUUUCCGGUCUCCUUCUCCUUCAUCUCUCCACUCCCCACUCCCUCCCCAAUCCUCUGCGCCUUCUUCGUCUACGUCACCUUCCCCAUCUGCUCCUCACCCUUUUUCAAGCGCUAACUCCCUACUCGCCUAUCCUUUCCUUCGUGAUAUUCUAGUUGAAAUUUUCCAAGACUUACUGUAAUGAAGGUUGUUUUAUAGUGCUUUAAAUUGUCUUCUUGGCACAUCAUGCUUUUAACAAAAAUUGUAUCAUGAUGAAAGUUUGGAAAGCUUUUCUAAGUCGAAAAAUGAUGAAAAAAUAUUUCUAAAUCGAAAAUUGUGUAACUUUCAGGUAGAAAAUUUUACUAAGUUGAAAGUUGUCCCUAGAGUUUCGAAAAUUGUGUGUAACUUUCAGGUAGAAAAUUUUACUAAGUUGAAAGUUGUCCCUAGAGUUUCGAAAAUUGUGUAAUUUUCAGCUAGAAAAUAAAUAAAAGUUGUCCGUAGAUUUUUUCCAUUGAGAUUGUAAAUUUUGUAAAUUGUAAUGCAAAUUUUGUUCAAUAAAAAAAUCC